rnacentral:rRNA from 1 species
AACGAACGCUGGCGGCAGGCCUAACACAUGCAAGUCGAGCGCGCCCUUCGGGGUGAGCGGCGGACGGGUGAGUAACGCGUGGGAACGUGCCCUUUUCUACGAAAUAGCCUCGGGAAACGGAGAGUAAUACCGAAAACGCCCUUGGGGGGAAAGAUUUAUCGGAAAAGGAUCGGCCCGCGUUGGAUUAGGUAGUUGGUGGGGUAAUGGCCUACCAAGCCGACGAUCCAUAGCUGGUUUGAGAGGAUGAUCAGCCACACUGGGACUGAGACACGGCCCAGACUCCUACGGGAGGCAGCAGUGGGGAAUCUUAGACAAUGGGGGCAACCCUGAUCUAGCCAUGCCGCGUGAGUGAUGAAGGCCUUAGGGUUGUAAAGCUCUUUCAGCUGGGAAGAUAAUGACGGUACCAGCAGAAGAAGCCCCGGCUAACUCCGUG